GAUGAAGAACGUAGCGAAAUGCGAUAAGUAAUGUGAAUUGCAGAAUUCAGUGAAUCAUCGAAUCUUUGAACGCACAUUGCGCCCGCCAGUAUUCUGGCGGGCAUGCCUGUUCGAGCGUCAUUUCAACCAUCAAGCCCCAGGCUUGUGUUGGGGUCCUGCGGCUGCCGCAGGCCCUGAAAAACAGUGGCGGGCUCGCUGUCACACCGAGCGUAGUAAUACAUCUCGCUUUGGACGUGCGGCGGGUUCUUGCCGUUAAACACCCCCCUUCUCAAGGUUGACCUCGGAUCAGGUAGGAAUACCCGCUGAACUUAAGCAUAUCAGUAAGCGGAGGA
rnacentral:misc_RNA from 1 species